AAAUUCUUGAAAGAAAGGCAUAAUUAACCAUUGGAACAAUUCGCCAACGAUCAUGGUGGAUUUUCUAUCACUGUCAAUUUUUAAACCAAGAUUGGAUUUUCCUAAAAGAUCUGCUCUAGGAAUU